GGCGCCGUGGCGGAGUGGUUACGCAGCGGCCUGCAAAGCCGUUUACACCGGUUCGAUUCCGGUCGGCGCCU
rnacentral:tRNA from 2 species